CACGUAGGGCGCAAGCGUUGUCCGGAUUUAUUGGGCGUAAAGAGCUCGUAGGCGGUUUGUCGCGUCGUUCGUGAAAACUCACAGCUUAACUGUGAGCUUGCGGUCGAUACGGGCAGGCUAGAGUUCGGUAGGGGAGACUGGAAUUCCUGGUGUAGCGGUGAAAUGCGCAGAUAUCAGGAGGAACACCGGUGGCGAAGGCGGGUCUCUGGGCCGAUACUGACGCUGAGGAGCGAAAGCGUGGGGAGCGAACAGG
rnacentral:rRNA from 1 species